AACGAACGCUGGCGGCAUGCCUAACACAUGCAAGUCGAACGAGACCUUCGGGUCUAGUGGCGCACGGGUGCGUAACGCGUGGGAACCUGCCCUUAGGUUCGGAAUAACUCCCCGAAAGGGGUGCUAAUACCGGACAAUGUCUUCGGACCAAAGAUUUAUCGCCUUUGGAUGGGCCCGCGUUGGAUUAGCUAGUUGGUAGGGUAAAAGCCUACCAAGGCGACGAUCCAUAGCUGGUCUGAGAGGAUGAUCAGCCACACUGGGACUGAGACACGGCCCAGACUCCUACGGGAGGCAGCAGUGGGGAAUAUUGGACAAUGGGCGAAAGCCUGAUCCAGCAAUGCCGCGUGAGUGAUGAAGGCCUUAGGGUUGUAAAGCUCUUUUACCCGGGAUGAUAAUGACAGGACCGGGAGAAUAAGCUCCGGCUAACUCCGU
rnacentral:rRNA from 1 species